GAAUCUAAUGCCGCUGCUGAUCUGACAGGAGGCGGAGCUCAGGCAGUAAGGCUCCCAGCCACUCAUCCCCUGCUGUGCGGCCGGGUUCCUAACAGACCACAGACAGAUAGCGGUUUGCAGCCGGGAGGAUAGGGACUCUUGCUUACGGUGUAUAUCUAGACGUGAACUUGCCGGCUAAUCGACUAUCCCAGUGAGUGUGAAGUGAUAGCUCAUGGGGCCCUGCCCUGCCAGCUGGGGUGCAGUGGCGCAAUCUCGGCUCACUGCAAGCUCCGCCUCCCGAGUUCCCGCCAUUCUUAUGCCUCACUCUCCGGAGUAGCUGGGACUACAGGCGCCCGCCACCACUCCCGGGUGCGGUGGCUCACGCCUGUAAUCCCAGCACUUUGGGAGGCCCAGGCGGGCGGAUCACGAGGUCAGGAGAUCGUCCUGGCUAACACGGUGAAACCCCGUCUCUACUACAAAUACAAAAAAAACAAAGAAACAAUAACAACAACAACAACAACAAACAGAAAAAAAUUAGCCAGGCGUGGUGUCAUGUGCCUGUAAUCCCAGCUACUCGGGAGGAUGAGGCAGAAGAAUCGCUUGAACCCGGGAGGCGGUGGUUGCAGUGAGCCGAGAUGGCGCCAUUGUACUCUAGCCUGAGCAACGGAGUGAGACUCUGUCUCCACAAAAAAAAAAGAGAAGAAAAAAAAAAAAGAAAGAAAAGAAAGCUUCAUCCAUCUUCAAACUCAGUAAUGGCCCAUGGAAUGCUUCUCAUGCCUCAAAUCUCUUUGUCUUCCCAUUCUGCUACCUGACUGUAAAGUGCUCACAUGAACUGUGCCACAAUACACAUAUCAAAGACUUGGAACCAACCCAAAUGCCCAUCAAUCAUAGACUGGAUAAAGAAAAUAUGGCACAUAUACACCAAGAAAUACUAUGCAGCCAUAAAAAAGGAUGAGUUAAUGUCCUUUGCAGGGACAUGGAUGAAGCUGGAAACCAUAAUUCUCAGCCAACUAACACAAGAACAGAAAACCAAACACCACAUAUUCUCACUCAAAGGUGGGAGUUGAACAAUCAGAGCACAUGGACACAGGGAGGGGAACAUCACAAACCAGGGCCUGUCGGGGGGUGGGGGGCUAGGGGAGGGAUAGCAUUAGGAGAAAUACCUAAUGUAUGUGAAGGGUUGAUAGGUGCAGCAAACCAGCAUGGCACGUGUAUACCUAUGUAACAAAACUGCACGUAUUAUACAUGUACCCCAGAACUUAAAGUAUGAUAAAAAGGAGAUUAAAAUAUAUAUAUGUACAAAAAAUGUGCUCACAUGAUUACGUUUGGUAACAUAAUCACAAGAGUGACAUCUCAGCAUGUUCAC